GCCUUCGUGGUGUAGUGGUCAGCACGCUCGACGCGUAACCGAGAGGUCCGUGGUUCGAUUCCCGGCAAAGGCG
rfam:Stegodyphus mimosarum contig47489, whole genome shotgun sequence.